AGAUGAUGUUGGGAUAAAAUG
rnacentral:miRNA from 1 species